AUUAACAGCGAUAAAACUGGUAGAGAUCACAUUUAAGAAUAUAUUUGAAAGCAUACUAAGUUGCGAAGAAAAUUGACGAAUAAUGAACUAAAAAUUAAUCGACUGCCCCUGUGACUGGAAUGAGAAAAGUGUUCCAGAUUUCUACUCUUCAAUUAUGAACGAUAAAUCAAUGUACGGUAUAUAGUCGACGCCCUUCUUGUCGCGAGCAAUUAAACGCGAACCCGUAAUAUAAUACGGUAGUAUAGGCUGCGUUUAUGAUAAUCACACCUGAGUGCCUUCCCAUUCCGGUUGAAUAGCUGAUGUUCAGCGAGCACGGGCGAAUCGAUGUAGCACCGGCUCUCGUUCAUAGCGACAACAGCAAUAACAGCAACAUUUCAACCUACGUUAAUUUGUUCGCUGCUAGCUUAUGGUAUUACAAAGCCAUCUUCUGUAAAAGCGGACGGAAUAAGCGACCGAAUAACUAUGUAGCUUAUAGUAGCAGUUCUUGGUAUUCUGUAGCUUCGACACAAUGGGACACAAUAAGAUUGUAACGUUACGAUGGAUGAGCCCUGUCACCAUAUUAUUUGUCACCGUGCGAUUGAAUAGAUAACAAGAUACACGAUAUACAACGAGGCUCGAGUGAACAGAGUGUAAUUCUUUCUGAAUCGCUAUAUAGCACGAAAACUAAUUUCUUCGUAUAAGAACAUUUCCCUUUUACAUAUGUCGAUGAAAAUAUUUUAUCUUUCGUGAAAGUUGAAAUCUUCGAAAGAAUAUUAAACAUCGAAACAAAAACUAUUUAUCCGGUUAAUUAAAAAGUCUUGUGAAUUUAUAUCAACGAGUUUUAUCCCGUUAUGGCUGCGUAAGAGAAUUUAUCAAUAGUAGUCACCUAUAUCUUUUAAUUUGUAACGUUAUUAGGAGGGUCGAGAUGUUCAAAUACUUAUGGCCAACAG
rnacentral:misc_RNA from 1 species